CCUACGGGUGGCAGCAGUGGGGAAUAUUGGACAAUGGGGGGAACCCUGAUCCAGCGACGCCGCGUGAGUGAAGAAGUCUUUCGGUAUGUAAAGCUCUAUCAGCAGGGAAGAAAGAAAUGACGGUUCCUGACUCAUACGCCCCGGCUACCUACGUGCCAGCAGCCGCGGUAAUACGUAGGGGGCAAGAGUUAUCCGGAUUUACUGGGUGUAAAGGGAGCGUAGACGGCGAUGCAAGUCUGAAGUGACAGGCGGGGGCUCAACCCCCGGACUGCUUUGGAAACUGUAUGGCUGGAGUGCAGGAGAGGUAAGUGGAAUUCAUGGUGUAGCGGUGAAAUGCGUAGAUAUUAGGAGGAACACCAGUGGCGAAGGCGGCUUACUGGACUGUAACUGACGUUGAGGCUCGAAAGCGUGGGGAGCAAACAGGAUUAGAUACCCUUGUAGUC
rnacentral:rRNA from 1 species